CAGGCGUGUCUGCAGGGACGACCUCACCAACUCCUACCUUGGAUGCUGCACAAAAGCCCAGCUCCCAUGGCAGGGGUCCUCUGACAGGACAGAACAAGACAUGGCAGGCAGGAAAUUCCAGGACCCAUUAGAAAUCAUGUGGCAAAUGCUGAAGGAACGUCUGCAGAGAAGACAAGAAAUGAACAGAGAGCCUGUGCAGAAGGAAGCAUUUCCCGGAGGAAGCAGUGGUUCCAUGCCAGCCUCUGCUGCAGGAAUGGAGGCCAUGCCAGGCACAGGCACAGGAG